ensembl:lncRNA
GGGGGGGAUCAAUCUUUCCUUUUUUCAAAAUAAAAGUCCUUUAAAAGAUCUCUCCUAGAAUGAGUAGAACUAAGAGCUCAUUUAGAAAACAGUAGGGAAGGAAUUCCCAUUGUGGCUCAGUGGUUAACGAAUCUGACUAGGAACCAUGAGGUUGCAGGUUCAAUCCCUGGCCUUGCUCAGAGGGUUAAGGAUGGGGCAUUGCUGUGAGCUGUGGUGUAGGUUGCAGAUGUGGCUCAGAUCCCAAGUUGCUGUGGCUACAGCUCCGAUUCGACCCCUAGCUGGGGAACCUACAUAUGCCUCGGGUGCAGCCCAAGAAAAGACAAAAAGACAAAAAAAAAAAGAAAAGAAAACAGUAGGGAAGACGUUUUAAGAGACUCGACAUCUUCUGGGGGUAAAAAUGAGAUUCUGUUUAAAAGUCACAAGGAAAAACAAGUAAACAAACAAGAAACAAACUAGAACGGAGGAAACUAAAUCCAUUCUUCAGUACUGGUAGGCAGUUCCCCUCUCCCACCAAAUUGUAAACCUUCAGGAGAGCAGGGACUUUGUCCAUUUGCUUAAUACAAAUGCAUUAUUCCUAGAGCCUCUAAUGGUGCCUGGCAUCUAGUUGACACUCCAUGUACAUGUAUCUAUUAUGUUGAGGUAGGUUCCCUAUAUUCUCACUUUAUGCACAGUUUUUUUUUUAUCAGAAAUGGGUGUUGAAUUUUGUCAAGAGCUUUUUCUGCAUCUAUUGAGAUGAUCAUAUGGUUUUUAUUCUUCAGUAUGUUGAUUUGGUGUGUCACACUGAUUGAUUUGCAGAAAUUGAAGAAUCCUUGUACCCCUGGGAUAAACCCACUUGAUCAUGGUGUAUGAUCCUCUUCAUAUAUAGUUAGAUUCAGUCUCCUAAUAUUUUGUGGAGGGUUUUUGCAUCUAUGUUCAUCAGUGAGGUUGUCCUGUAAUUUUUCUUUUUUGUGGUAUCUGUCUGGUUUUAGUAUCAGGGUGAUGGUGGCCUCAAAGAAUGAGUUUGGAAGUGUUCCUUCCUCUGCAAUUUUUUGGAAGAGUGUCAGAAAAAUAGGUGUUAACUCUUUUCUGAAUGUUUGGUAGAAUUCACCUGUGAAGCCAUCAGGUCCUGGACUUUUAUUUUGUGGAAGUCGUUUUAAUCACAUUUUCAGUUUCAGUACUUGUGAUGGGUCUAUUCAUAUUUUCUAUUCCUUCCUGGUUCAGGUUUUGUAGGUUGUACCUUUGAAAAAAAUCUUUCUAUUUCUUCUAGGUUGUCCAUUUUAUUGGCACAUCGUUUCUUAUAUCCUUUGUAUUUCUGUUGUGUCAGUUGUGACUUCUUUUUCAUUUCUAAUUUUAUGCUGAACAGCAGAAAUUGGCACAACACUGUAAAUAAGCCACACUUUAAUAAAAUUUUUUAAAAUGUAGAAAGUUCCCAUUGUGGAUCAGCAGGUUAUGAACCUGACUAGUAUCCAUGAGGAUGUGGGCUCAAUUCCUGGCUCACUCAGUGGGUUAAGGAUCCAUCAUUGCCCUGAGCUGUGGUGUAGGUCACAGAUGCAGUUUGGAUCUGGUGUUACUGUGUCUGUGGCGUAGGCCAGCAGCUGUAGCUCUGAUUCAACGCCUAGCCUGGGAACUCCCAUAUGCCACAUAGAAAAAAAGAAAAAAAGUAAAUGUAUACAUAUAUAGUUAUCUAAUUAAUUGAUUAAAUAAAUUAGUCUCAGACCCUGAUCCUGGCACUCAUCCUAUGCUCCCUAUAAGCUGUUUUAGAGCAUAUUAAAUUUUGAGGUCAGUUCAUCUACUUCUGGCAUUUAUAGGCAGAGGCUUUAGAUUUCUCUUUUGAAACAAACAGGCCAAUGCCACCAAAUAAAAGAGUGGAAAGAACUGUCCUCUGGUCCUUACGAUCCACUUGCCUCAAUCUAGGCUUCAUGGAGGCCCCCAUCACUUAAUGCAUGUGAUGAACUUCUAAUGAUGCUUGAAGUAUAUUCUCAGAAGCAUGAUCAGUUCUUUUCCUCAGAUUCAAAUUUUGCAAUCAAAAUCCACAGCACACACACUGCUGCUUGUAUCGUAGCAUGUAGCAUCCACCCUCUCCCUUCAAUUUGGGUGAUUUCUCAAAUGAUGGAUUAUGGGAUCACAACUGUGUGUUCUCAGCAGAACCUCUUGACUGAGCCAAAAUUUACAUUUUUAUGAACCUGCGUGAAUCAGCUUUCCUUAGUGAGAUUCGGUGACACUAAGGCUUAGGGAAUUAAGUGGCAGCUUCUGAAAUAAAUAUUCUAUCACGGGGAGACUGAGCCUCGGACGAAAACAUCAGGCAGCGCACAGGAAGCUCAUGCUGUAGAUGAAUUCAGAGCAGUGCCUCAGGCUGCUUGCAUGUCAGAGGGCUAAAUGCAGACUCUGCAAGGAAAAGAGACGUUGGGGGAGAUAGCGGGCGUGUAGAAAAGUGGAGAGUAUUCCACACCACAACCCGCGUGAUGAUUUGGGUUGCUUGGUGAAUACUAGGCGAUGUCCAAGAGUGUGUGAUAACUGAGAAAGUCUAGGGUAAGAAACAAGUUGGAGGCCAAUUCUAGAGAUCUAAAUCAGUAACUGAGUAGAGAUCAGUCAUGGAUGAGCAGUCAGCCACAUUGUGUCCUCACAAGGAUCCUUGCUAAACUUGCUGCAGUGACCACACACUCCAAGGUGACAAUGGCCACAACAAGAGGUACUGUUUUCAUCAUGGGGUCUGGGGGGAUGUGCCAUGUGGCUCCUUGGUGGUUAAGCUCUUGGUAGGGACCCAUUUCACGCUACCGUGAAUUGGUCCUCACUAUUAAAUGAUAUCACUAGGACACCUGCUGUUCCAAGGUGUCCAUUGUCUUGAGAUUUCCAGGACCAUUCUCAAAAACUAGAAGCUGGUGUGAGGAAAGGAAUGUUUUUAUAUUGACCCAACUCCUACACCAAGAUACCUAUAAGCAUGAAAUGUAUUUUUGCCUUAGUGGUAAACCAGUGAAGAAAGACUUGACUCUCUAAUACAAUAAGAUCUUUCUACUUAGAGUAUGGAUAAUAGUUAAAUAGUCAGGUGGAGACUCAUAUACUAUCUUUCUACAUUUGACCGGCAUCCAUGCUGUGCCUUGGGUCACUCCAUUCCUUGUUAUUCUUCCCGGAAGAAAAGUCUAUGCAAACCUUAGCGCUAAUCAAACUGAUAUGAGACUGAUUUGCUGUGUUGCUAGUGUGGGAUGGUAUCUUCAUUAGGAGACCUCUAAUUGAUUAUUGACCUACCACCUCUCACUAGAAUUAGUUUCUUGGGCAUCAUUUAAUGAAGGGUUUUCAGUUAAGCACUUGAGAAAAAGAAUUUGCUCUGCCUCUGCAAUCACUCAGAGUUUCAUGAAGAUCCUGCUUUCCCAGAGUUGGGGUGUGGGAUCCGUAUCGACUAGCAAUCCAACCCAGGAUAUGAACGGAGGACCAACUUGUGGGCUUUUCUGAAGUCCUAUAUCAAUGCUACAUAUUGGGUGUAUAAAGGGAAAUGUAAAAUUGGAAUCUGUGGCCUCAUUUAAGCAAAUCUGUAGUAGUGCCCCCCAUGAUAUAGCCGCACCAUAAAUAAAACAGGAUCUUCCAAACUCCCAGGGCUAUUUAAUUCUGCCAUAUUUUUUCCUCACAAAAGACAACCAUUGCUCGGCCUUUUCCUUACUUCUCUUGGAAUGAGAUAUUUCCAUUAUUAUUCAGUUCAAAAUAUUAUCUAAUUCCCAUUGUGAUUUCUUCCUAGACUUAUGGGUUUAUUCAAAGUAAAUAUUUCAUUUACAAAGACUUGGGGAUUUUUUAGUCACCUCUCUGAUACUGAUUCCUAAUUUAAUUCUAUCACAGUGGUCCUUGUACGAUAUAUCUACAUAGUAAGCUGUCAGUAAAUACUUGAUGCAGGCAUGAAGGCGUGAAUGAACCCGGGGAUGCUAGGACCAGAGAACGUGUAAGUUGAAAAGGCAAGACAACUUUGGUACUUGAGGAGCAUUAAAAACUUAACAGAGACCUUCUCUGAUAAAAUAGUGUAAAUCUAUGAUUCGGUUUACAUGAAGAUUUCUGGAAUACAUAUGCUUCAUAUAGGCAAGUACAUCCCCAGGUAGCCUUUACCCUGUUUCUGACCCUUUGCCUUGCACAGUCCACCCAGGGAUAAACCUUGAGCAGAACUCAAAGGAGACAAAGCCCUCCGUCCUUCAGCUCAUGUUCGUGUUCCUAGAAGCCCUUCUUUUCUGCAGCCAGUGCUCGGUUCCCUUCGUCACUGUCUCACACCUGAGCUCCUCCUCAGGAAACAGUGUUCAUCUGGAUCUGCUGAGUUCUGGUGUUUGGGCAAAACAAAUCCUCCAUCACUCUGGCAGGCUUUCUAGAAGGCUCGGGGCUUUGCUGCCUGGGUAGUGCAAAUAAGACCAGAAGACUCCCCGUUGCAGAGGAAAGUCUGACCCAGCAAGACCCACUGGUAGAAAAUAUAGGCACGUUCACUUAGAGUGUCCAUGACAAUAUAUCAGGGCACCUUCUUCCCACUCUCAUGGCUGUGAGUGUUAAAAACACUCAAUCAUUUCCAUUCUGAGGUGUCCAAAUGGAGGUGGGGUAGAGGAACCAGCCCAGUAUAUACAGAGACUGGGCAUAUGGAGAAGUAGGAGCUGAAUCCUGUCCUCCAACCAGUGUCCUGCUCACUUUGGGCAGGUCCCUCCCCUCCCUAGCCUCCCUUCCACCAUCUGGAGUACACAGCAGCUGGACCACUCUCUUCUGAGAUCCCUCUCAAUGCUGAACCUCUUUGAUUUGAGAAGCGUUGUGUUCUGAAAUAGCAGUCCCGAGCAAGAACCUCCUCAAAAGGUUGAGUGUGUAAUUACGUACUUAGUAUUCUCACAGAGUUUCAUACGAUAGGAAUUCAGUGAAAUUCAUUUUUCUGCUGCUUUUGUAUUCUUGCUUAUUUGGAAUGGAAAAAUCCUUGUAUACACUUCCUCAAGACAUGGAUGAAAAAUAGGAAAAAGGUACUUAGAGGCCAGUAGGCUCCUUUGGUUAAAGACAAGGUUGGGUCCAAUUAAUUUGGGCUGUUUGCGCAUUGUGGUUUGUUGGGGGUGGGGGGCUAAGCUUGACUUUGAGAUCUUUUGUGAUCUAUCAGGAAGGUAAAAUGAGAUCAAAGCUUAGAAAAGAGUAAUGCCCAGAUAGAUUUUAUUUCACGCUACUCUCAGUUGUAACCAGAACUUCCCUCACCACAAUUACCACAAUUGUUAACAAGCCUUUUGUUAUUGGGAAGGGUAAAAGGUUGGAUAAAUGUUAGAAUUAAAUACCCAGGAUUUUUCUUGAUGCACAAGACUCACUGGAUAAGUGACAGCCAAUUAUUUUGACCAGGCGUCCCAUUCACAAAAGAAUAUGAUUAGGUGCUAACCACAGCUGCUCAAGGGUUUUAAAGUCUUGGAAAAUUGGCUUUAAAAAGUAUCAUCUGGCAAACAUCAAGCUUUCUCUUUCUCACAAGACUUUUGGAACAGGACUGAAGUCAACAGUGUUCGAAGGCUCACGAGGAAAAGAAUCUAUUGCUUGCAAGUUGGAUUUUCCAACAUGGAUCUGGGCUGCCAGGGGGUGCUGCUUCUGGCCAGAUCUUCAUUAACCAAGUCAAAGGGACAGUCCAGGCAUUUAUCCAGAUCAUCCCAAAUUAGUCCUGCCCCUUCGGAAAAUGAAAAGAGGCUUGCCUGGUGAAGCAAGGAGCCUCACCAGUUAGAUGGAUUUAAGGCAUCUUCUAUGAUUGACAUCACAAUCCUAUACUUUCAGGAUAGAGCAUUUGCCAAGCUGGGUACCAUUUAGCCAGUUCCUCUAAUUGUCUGCUUCACUUGGCUUCUGUAAUUGGGGCCACAAUCUUGAAAAUGAAGUCACGUGGAUAGAGUUAUGAUUUUUAGGGAUCAGAAUGCCUCUUAAGCAUGCAGUACCACAUCCUUUUGUGGAACAACGAUGCUGCAGAGACCCCUUCCCUAGGCAUCAAUCUGUGGUCGUGAUGAAGGGGCGUCUAAGCCAUCCAGCCCACCCCUUUGCAACUAACAUCAGGCCUUGCCGAGAUCAAGUAAUUUUAGAGCUGGAAACAGCUCUAUAAUAAGGGACCAGAGGGAGGAAACGAGGCUCUAUGGGAGUUAAAUCACUUUCUAAGUUUACACAGGUAUCUGGGCAUGAAGCCCUGGUUGCUUUUUUGUUGUACCAUGUGGCUGGCUAGGGAUAGCCAUAUGAUCCAUAGCUUUGGGAGAAAGAUCUUUAUUGAGAGGAGUAGGCCAACAAUUUUGUGAUGGGCCAGAUAGUGCAUUUUUUUUGGUUUUGCAGGCCAUGUGGUCUCUGUCACAAUUACCCAACUCUGUCAUCAGAGCGUAAAAGCAGCCAUGGUCAGUAAGUGACAGAAUAGGCAUAGCUGUGUUCCAUUCAAACUUUGUCAGUGAACACUGAAAUAUGAACUUGGUAGACUUUUCACCCAGCCCCAAAUAUUAUUCCAUUUUGGAUUUUUUUCACCUGUUGAAAAAAUGGAGCUCUCUCAUGGCACAACAGGUUAAGGAUCCAGCAUUGUCGCUGCUGUGGCUCAGGUCGCUGCCCUGGCUAAGGUUCGAUCCCUGGCCUGGGAACAUCCCGAUGCUACAAGUACAACCAAAAAAAAAAAAAAAAAAAAAAAAAAAA